GAUGAACGCUAGCGGCAGGCUUAACACAUGCAAGUCGAGGGGUAAGUCAUUUCGGUGACUGAGACCGGCGCACGGGUGCGUAACGCGUAUGUAAUCUACCUUUUACAGGGGGAUAGCCCAGAGAAAUUUGGAUUAAUACCCCAUAGUAUUAUUGAAUGGCAUCAUUUAAUAAUUAAAGUUCCAACGGUAAAAGAUGAGCAUGCGUCCCAUUAGCUAGAUGGUAAGGUAACGGCUUACCAUGGCGACGAUGGGUAGGGGUCCUGAGAGGGAGAUCCCCCACACUGGUACUGAGACACGGACCAGACUCCUACGGGAGGCAGCAGUGAGGAAUAUUGGUCAAUGGGCGCAAGCCUGAACCAGCCAUGCCGCGUGCAGGAUGACGGUCCUAUGGAUUGUAAACUGCUUUUGUACGGGAAGAAACACUCCUACGUGUAGGAACUUGACGGUACCGUAAGAAUAAGGAUCGGCUAACUCCGUGCCAGCAGCCGCAGUAAAAC
rnacentral:rRNA from 1 species